GACGAACGCUGGCGGCGUGCUUAACACAUGCAAGUCGAACGAAGUGGCGAACGGGUGAGUAAUACGUGUGUAACCUGCCCUCCUUUUUGGGAUAAGCCUUGGAAACGGGGUCUAAUACCGAAUAAAGGGGGAUGGGCUCGCGGCCUAUCAGCUGGUUGGGGGGGUGAUGGUCUACCAGGGCGGUGACGGGUAGCAGGCCUGAGAGGGUGACAGGCCACAUUGGGACCGGGACACGGCCCAGACUCAGACGGGAGGGAGGAGUAGGGGACAAUGGACAAUGGGCUGAAGCCUGAAGCAGGGAUGUAGCGUGGGGGAUGAAGGGUUUCGGGGUGUAAACCUCUAGCGCUAUGGAACGGGUAGGUGGAGAAGAAGCGCCGGCUAACUACGUGCCAGCAGCCGCGGUAAUAC
rnacentral:rRNA from 1 species